rnacentral:rRNA from 1 species
GUUGUAUAGUCAAGUAAUUAAGUGCAUGUGGUGGAUGCCUUGGCAGUCAGAGGCGAUGAAAGACGUGAUAGCCUGCGAAAAGCUCCGGGGAGGCGGCAAAUAUCCUUUGAUCCGGAGAUGUCUGAAUGGGGGAACCCACCUACUUUAAGGUAGGUAUUGCAACAUGAAUACAUAGUGUUGCAAGGCGAACGAGGGGAAGUGAAACAUCUCAGUACCCUUAGGAAAAGAAAUCAAUUGAGAUUCCCUCAGUAGCGGCGAGCGAACGGGGAUCAGCCCAUUAAGUUAUGUGUGUUUUAGUGGAACGCUCUGGGAAGUGCGAACGUAGAGGGUGAUAUUCCCGUACACGAAAGGGCACACAUAAUGAUGACGAGUAGGGCGAGGCACGUGAAACCUUGUCUGAAUAUGGGGGGACCAUCCUCCAAGGCUAAAUACUCCUGACUGACCGAUAGUGAACCAGUACCGUGAGGGAAAGGCGAAAAGAACCCCUGUGAGGGGAGUGAAAUAGAUCCUGAAACCGCAUGCAUACAAGCAGUGGGAGCACCUUCGUGGUGUGACUGCGUACCUUUUGUAUAAUGGGUCAGCGACUUAUAUUCAGUAGCGAGGUUAACCGUAUAGGGGAGCCGUAGAGAAAUCGAGUCUUAAUAGGGCGUUUAGUUGCUGGGUAUAGACCCGAAACCAGGCGAUCUAUCCAUGAGCAGGUUGAAGGUUGGGUAACACUAACUGGAGGACCGAACCCACUGUCGUUGAAAAGCCAGGGGAUGACUUGUGGAUAGGGGUGAAAGGCUAAUCAAGCCUGGUGAUAGCUGGUUCUCCCCGAAAGCUAUUUAGGUAGCGCCUCGGACGAAUACCAUAGGGGGUAGAGCACUGUUUCGGCUAGGGGGUCAUCCCGACUUACCAAACCGAUGCAAACUCCGAAUACCUAUGAGUACUAUCCGGGAGACAGACUGCGGGUGCUAACGUCCGUAGUCAAGAGGAAAACAAUCCAGACCGCCAGCUAAGGCCCCAAAAUCAUAGUUAAGUGGGAAACGAUGUGGGAAGGCAUAGACAGCUAGGAGGUUGGCUUAGAAGCAGCCACCCUUUAAAGAAAGCGUAAUAGCUCACUAGUCGAGUCGGCCUGCGCGGAAGAUGUAACGGGGCUAAAACUAUGUGCCGAAGCUGCGGAUGUAUACUUUGUAUACGUGGUAGGGGAGCGUUCUGUAAGCCGAUGAAGGUGUGUUGAGAAGCAUGCUGGAGGUAUCAGAAGUGCGAAUGCUGACGUGAGUAACGACAAAACGGGUGAAAAACCCGUUCGCCGAAAGACCAAGGGUUCCAGUCCAACGUUAAUCGGGGCUGGGUGAGUCGACCCCUAAGGCGAGGCCGAAAGGCGUAGUCGAUGGGAAAAUGGUUAAUAUUCCAUUACUUCUGUGUAAUGCGAUGAGAGGACGGAGAAGGCUAAAUCAGCCUGGCGUUGGUUGUCCAGGUGAAAGGAUGUAGGCAUGUAUCUUAGGCAAAUCCGGGGUACUCUAUGCUGAGAUCUGAUAGCAAGCUGUACUUGUACAGCGAAGUGGUUGAUGCCAUGCUUCCAGGAAAAGUCUCUAAGCUUCAGUUACACAGGAAUCGUACCCGAAACCGACACAGGUGGUCAGGUCGAGUAGACCAAGGCGCUUGAGAGAACUCUGCUGAAGGAACUAGGCAAAAUGGUACCGUAACUUCGGGAGAAGGUACGCUGUUGUUGGUGAUGGAACUCGCUUCCUGAGCUGACGACAGCCGCAGAAACCAGGCCGCUGCAACUGUUUAUUAAAACAUAGCACUCUGCAAACACGAAAGUGGACGUAUAGGGUGUGAUGCCUGCCCGGUGCUGGAAGGUUAAUUGAUGGGGUUAGCGUAAGCGAAGCUCUUGAUCGAAGCCCCAGUAAACGGCGGCCGUAACUAUAACGGUCCUAAGGUAGCGAAAUUCCUUGUCGGGUAAGUUCCGACCUGCACGAAUGGCAUAAUGAUGGCGGCGCUGUCUCCAGCAGAGGCUCAGUGAAAUCGAAAUCGCUGUGAAGAUGCAGUGUACCCGCGGCUAGACGGAAAGACCCCGUGAACCUUUACUGCAGCUUGACACUGAACUUUGACCUUACUUGUGUAGGAUAGGUGGGAGGCUUUGAAGCUGGAACGCUAGUUCCAGUGGAGCCGUCCUUGAAAUACCACCCUGGUAAUGUUGAGGUUCUAACUCUGUCCCGUGAUCCGGGACGAGGACCGUGUCUGGUGGGUAGUUUGACUGGGGCGGUCUCCUCCUAAAGAGUAACGGAGGAGUACGAAGGUGCGCUCAGCGUGGUCGGAAAUCACGCGUAGAGUAUAAAGGCAAAAGCGCGCUUAACUGCGAGACCCACAAGUCGAGCAGGUACGAAAGUAGGUCUUAGUGAUCCGGUGGUUCUGUAUGGAAGGGCCAUCGCUCAACGGAUAAAAGGUACUCUGGGGAUAACAGGCUGAUACCGCCCAAGAGUUCAUAUCGACGGCGGUGUUUGGCACCUCGAUGUCGGCUCAUCUCAUCCUGGGGCUGAAGCAGGUCCCAAGGGUAUGGCUGUUCGCCAUUUAAAGAGGUACGCGAGCUGGGUUUAGAACGUCGUGAGACAGUUCGGUCCCUAUCUACCGUGGGCGCUGGAAAUUUGAGAGGAUCUGCUCCUAGUACGAGAGGACCAGAGUGGACGAACCUCUGGUGUACCGGUUGUGACGCCAGUCGCAUCGCCGGGUAGCUAUGUUCGGAAGGGAUAACCGCUGAAAGCAUCUAAGCGGGAAGCCUACCUCAAGAUAAGAUUUCCCUAGGACUUUAUGUCCUCUAAAGAGCCGUUCGAGACUAGGACGUUGAUAGGUUGGAUGUGGAAGCAUAGUGAUAUGUGAAGCUGACCAAUACUAAUUGCUCGUGAGGCUUGACUAUACAACACCCAAGCAGUUG